ensembl:misc_RNA Metazoa_SRP Metazoan signal recognition particle RNA
GCUGGGCAUGGUGGUGCAUGCCUGUAGUCCCAGCUACUCAGGAGGCUGAGGCAGGAGGAUCGCUUGAGGCCAGGAGUUUGAGGCUGCAGUGAGCUAUGAUUAUACCACUGCACUGCAGCCUGGAUGACAGAGUGAGACCCUGUCUCUA